UUAAAUAUUCAUUUCCCUCAUUAAAAUGCAAAUCAAUUUAUAACAUUUCUGACAUGUGUUUUUCUGGAUAUUUUUGUUAUUCUGUCUCUCACUGUUCAAAUAAACCUACCAUUAAAAUGAUAGACUGAUCAAUUCAGCAGGGGAUCAAAUACUUUUCCCCCCCCACUGUAUGCAUUUCCUGCUAUUGGAUUUUGAAAUGUUAUACAAUCAUAAGCCUUUUCUCUCUGCUGGAGAGCACAUCAAGUGGCUUGCUCAUCACAGCAGCAGGCCCAGGUGCUCGGCAGACACUUUCAUUACAGGAAUCAUGAGGAUAAUGCACUUUACUGUUUUACCAAAUCAUGGUUUUGGGGGAAACUUGAGUGAGGCGACCAUGGAAUGAUCUCUCAUUGAAAUGUUGCAUCUGGUCUACGCCAUAGUUAAAGUGCUCCAAAUAUCACCCCUUUUUAGCCAGGAGCUUUUACCACUUGGAGUAGCCAUGGCUUAUUUACACCAAAAAUAAAUUCCCUGCCAGAUUGCGGUAACACUGAAAAGAUCAAUCUCUCCAAACUAUUGUCCAGUCCACAUCUCGUUUGUCAACCCAAAUGAAAAAUAAUUGAUUUCAUUUUUUCUGAGUCAUCUCGUCAAUUGCAACAAGUGUUUGACGAAUGUUCAUCACUAGCUUAGUUUCCGAAAUUAACACUGCCCCUGAGACAGACACGUACUGGAUUGAGCAGAGUAGCGUAGCGCUGCCUCCACUUUUGUUUUAACAGUAUGGUCUGGCGUCAGAGGCUUCGACACACCAUAACUUAAUACAGAUGUAGCAAACAAGCAUCUUUAUUAGGCAAAUUCAUAGGACAGCAUGGAGUACAUGACUUAGUAGGGAGCCUAUGCAACUCAACCUGAACAGGCCUAUAAGAACAAACUGGUAUAAGGAGCAGGCUAUGAUCAUAAUUACACACUAGGUGACAGUGCACACAAUAGUGAGAACACACGGUUACACUGCAACCUGAGCAGCAAAAAGGUUACACUAACAUGUGACUGCACUGCAAAUAAGGGCUUAGCCCAAUAAAUAGCAGUUCUACAAAACGUGCAAAUUCCCUGCAAACAGGAACCAAAUACACACGGUCAAAAGACCCACACGUGAUAAAGUAAUAUAGAUCCCAGCCAACUAAGCUAAUAUCUGCAGUCACCUUUCUGCUUGCCCCUCACAACCCACGCUGUAUUUUAAAAGGCUAAAGACCAAAUGGGAGACAUUACAUUGAACAUUUAAAAUGUCGCAUUUAAAAACACUUCACUUCUCCAACUGAUGAGACCCCUCCAUGAGGUUUGAGUAUGUGCAUUCCUAUUGAGCUGGCCAGCAUGGCAAGCUGUAGACAGUGUAUCCAUGGUGCACUGAAUUAUCUACAAUGGACUAAACAGGAUCAACAGCUAGGCUACACUAGGAUUCAGGUUAAAUCACUGUGAAUGCAGAAAACCACAAUAGGGUAGAGAAAUGCCGUAACCUAUGCUCGGGCUUAGCCUGAUUAAAUACAUUGAAUAGAAGGGUGCGCUGCAACUCACUAACACAGGGGAGAGGGCUAUCACUCCUAGAAACCCCACUAUCUUACCUGGUUCCCCAAAUUCCCCCUAAAUACCUCGCUUCGUCGGCAGCCACCCUACACAGCAGCGAAUGACAACCUCCCACCAUCAGUGAGUGCAAACCGGUUAAUUGCGAGGGUUACAAAACCCCAUGUCCAUCAGAGAACCAGCUCCCCCACAACCCCUUGCCUGCUUUCUCGGCUCUGACUUAUAACGAGAUUUCCAGAGUCUUCCUGCAGAGUUGGCAAGCACACACAGGUGCGAGCAAUUAGUUAAUGAUUCGUUGACGUUAUUACUUGCAAGCUGUAAUCACAGUUUCUUCAGAUUUAAUAUAGCUAAAUACUGUGGUGUAGUGUUCAUAAUCUCCCUCCCCUCGUUGCUUUCCUGUUCUUCUUUCUUCUCCCUCUUUCCAUUCCUGUCCCCUUUCAUUAACCUCUUUUCCUCUCCUUUUCCCCAUCUCCCUUAAUCUUUCUCACUCCUUUAUUCUCCUAACCUACUCUGUCCUGAAUCCCCACCCUCACACUCCUCCAUUCCUCUGCUCUCUCUACCCUGCUCUCCAGAACAUGUCCCUGGAGCAGAACUUUGCAGAAGCACAGUCCUAGUUCAACAUGGGUGUGGCAGGGUACCAUGCUCAGUUCUCCAGCUUAAUGUUGGCCAUUGAGAUGGCCAAAACUGACCUCCACAACCAAAUCCUGGCCUACCAUGAGCUUCUGGAUGUUAAGCUGGCUCUGGAUGUGGAGAUCUCAACCAACAGAAACCUGCUGGAAGGAGACGAUCUCAAAUUUCUAGAGAAAUCUUUACAGCAACUUCCUAUAGUUUCUCAGGCUGGGACUCCCCCUUACCUUCUGCCCAGGCUGGAUACAAAAGCACGUUUCCACACAUAGAGGGAGCAUCAGGAACACAUAGAGCCCUUGCUGAUUUUGGACCCCACAUCUGCAGAUGAAUCUGAAUCUACCUGAUUCCACCAGGGUACCUCUGGACUGGUGGAUGUUCAGAUACUAAAGUGAGUCUUUUAACCAAACCCCCUAGCUUCUCUGUCAAUGUAUGCCCAAUUUUUAGACUACCCAAUAAACAUUGCAUCUUAGAUCUGGGCCUCUGUUCAUUUAGGUUUGCUUAUGUGUUAAUGCUGUUACAUUAUAUAAGGUUUUGCAGAUGUUAUUAUUUUCAAUAAAUUUUUUUAAAAGUCAUCAUUUCAUAAGUGGAUGUGUGAGUGUCAGUGCACUCCUCAAUUUACUGUGUUUCGAUUUGAAAUUUGAGUUGCAUAAUUGUUGUUUGUGAGUAGAAAAGGAGAGGAGAGGAGCAUGUAAGAAUGUUAGUGUGUGCUUCUCUCUCUCAUCUCUACCCUGUUCCUCAAAUAUCGUUUAUUUUGCGGUCUGCUCUUGGCAUGCAAGGCCCCAGAGAAAGUACACCGCACAAUGUUCUAGACAGUACAGCCACUGGUAAACAGGUUGAGAGAGAGAGAGAGAACGUCAUAACCAACCCCACCCGCAACUGCUGUGAAACUUUGUCACGCUAUGCAGGACUGACUCUUGCCACGACAACCCUGUUGUAUGUGGGGUUUCCAUUUACGAGGUUUAUAUAUUUUUUGUUGUUGCACUGCUUCAAAUCAUUCAUAUUUCUUUAUGAAGUAUCAGCUGACAACCUGUAGCAGUACUGGAUGUUUUAGCAAACAAUUUGUAGUGUUACCAAAAUUACAAACUUCAAAAUAUGUUUGAGUACUGCAAGGGAGCAUUAGGAAAGCUAAACUAGCUAUUGAAAAAGUGAGGAAUUAAACAAAUUGGCCUUUGGCUUGUCAAAUCUAGGCAGCUACUGUAUGUACUCUGUAGGCUUAGAGCUGACAAUAUAAUUCUGAAGACACGUGUAGAGCCUUGCCCUACAUGCUGCUAGGUGCUAACCACUUCUUGUUUUAGGCUACUAGCUUUGGCCACAGUUUUACCUCUUGUUCUUCACUUUCUGUGUGCAACUGCGUGGGUACUAGGUUCGAAAUACAUUUUUGUGACAUUGGUUUCUGAGGUGGUCAUUGAGUACAUUGCAUUCCUUUGAAAUGAAAUCCAAAUCCAAAAUUAGACCUAAUUGGUCAGAUAAAUGACAACUACAGUGCCUUCAGAAAGUCUUCAUACCCCUUGACUUAUUCCACAUUUUGUUGUGUUACUGGAUUACAUUUUUUUUUAAAUGUCAUCUACACUC